UACGUAGGGUGCAAGCGUUGUCCGGAAUUAUUGGGCGUAAAGAGCGUGUAGGCGGCCAGGUAGGUCCGUUGUGAAAACUCGAGGCUCAACCUCGAGACGCCGAUGGAAACCAUCUGGCUAGAGUCCGGAAGAGGAGAGUGGAAUUCCCGGUGUAGCGGUGAAAUGCGCAGAUAUCGGGAAGAACACCCGUGGCUAAGGCGGCUCUCUAGUACGGUACUGACGCUGAGACGCGAAAUCGUGGGGAGCGAACAGG
rnacentral:rRNA from 1 species